rnacentral:rRNA from 1 species
CCUACGGGUGGCUGCAGUGGGGAAUAUUGGGCAAUGGGCGCAAGCCUGACCCAGCAACGCCGCGUGAAUGAAGAAGGCCUUCGGAUUGUAAACUUCUGUUCUGGGGGACGAACAAAGUGACGGUACCUCAAGAGUAAGCCACGGCUAACUACGUGCCAGCAGCCGCGGUAAUACGUAGGUGGCAAGCGUUAUCCGGAAUGACUGGGCGUAAAGGGUGCGUAGGCGGGAUAGUAAGUCAGCUGUGAAAUCCCAGGGCUCAACCCUGACCCUACAGUUGAAACUAUUUGUCUUGAGUACUGGAGAGGCAGACGGAAUUCCUAGUGUAGCGGUGAAAUGCGUAGAUAUUAGGAGGAACAUCAGGGGCGAAGGCGAUCUGCUGGACUGCAACUGACACUGAGGCGCGAAAGCGUGGGGAGCAAACAGGAUUAGAUACCCUUGUAGUC